GUACGUAUGGCGACGAAGGGGAGCAGUGCUCGUCCUCAGCGGACCCAGAUGACCCUUGCUGGCGGGUGAGAUUCCUCUUGAGACCUACGGCGACGGCAAACGGCGGCAGCGGAUUUGAAGGUGACGGUAGGAGAUCCGUGUGAGCAUCCAUCUCCUGCUCUCUAAAUCUCUCUCUCUCUCUCUCUCUCUCUCUCUCUCUCUGCGCAUUGAUAUUUGCUUUGUGGUGUGGGAGCUUCAAGACAGCAGCUUCAAAGCGGCCAUUCUAUCGCUAAUUAGCUGGCCCCAAACAAAAACAGAUCGUAGAAAUCUCAAUCGACCGGCAGUACUAACCCUAGCGGCACAACAACAUACGGCCAGCCGGCGGCAGCAGGGCGACCGCCAAGCAGAGGACCGGCAACAAUCUUGUGCGGCAUCGCAGCAGUUCUGUGCUGUAACAACGAGCGGAUAAGAAGGGCAGGAAUUAGGGAGUAGGCACGCGGCCGUGUACUUUCGAACAAACUAAAUCAACGUGUCCAAUUAAGCUUUAAAUCAACUAAUCAACUAUUAUAUGAUGUUUUUCAGGACAGAACAUGUGCAAGCUCAUGGUUUUAUGCCGAUUCAUCCUUCAAGACAAGUAUUAGGAGUAUGGCAGCACAACCUAGGCGUGUAGGCGUGUAGCUGCAUACAUGUGACGGGAAAUAGGGAGGCAGCU
rnacentral:lncRNA from 1 species